GCAGAGACUUAACCUCGUACCUUUUGCAUCAUGAUUUAGCGAGCAAACCUUAGGCAAGAAGACCCUUAGUCUAACAAGCCCGAAACUAGAUGAGCUACUCCAAGCCAGCAUAACCAUUUUAGUGCCCACCCGUCUCUGUUGCAAAAGAUGUGGGGAGAGCUUCGAGUAGGAGUGAUAAACCUAUCGAAUCUAGUAAUAGCUGGUUUUCUGAGAAGUAGAUAUUAGUUUAGCCUUUAAAUUUCCCCAUAAAUUUACAGAGUUAGUCAAACGGGUUCCAGCUCCUUUGAUUUGAGAAACAACUCCUACUGACAGGGUAAGGAUCAUAUUUAUUAAGGUUUAUUAUACAUGUGGGCCUAAAAGCAGCCAUCCUACCAGAAAGCGUUAUAGCUCGAAUAAACAAUAACGUAAACUACUCCUAACCCGCCCAAUUAUAUCAGAAUGUCUUAUUUUAUAAUAAAAGAAACUAUGCUAAUAUUAGUAAUAAGAGACGACCCUCUCCUUGCACAAGUGUAACUCAUAAUGGACUAGCCACUGAGAAAUAACGACCCUAAUACUAGAAGGCAAAGGAAAUAUACCAGAAAAACCCCCCCCGUUACCCCUACACUGGAGUGCCCCUAAGGAAAGAUGAAAAUGAAGAGAAGGAACUCGGCAAACAGCCCCGCCCUGUUUACCAAAAACACCGCCUCUUGAAUACAUAAGAGGUCGAGCCUGCCCAAUGAUAAUUGAUUUAAUGGCCGCGGUAUUUUGACCGUGCUAAGGUAGCGUAAUCACUUGCCCUUUAAAUGAAGGCCAGUAUGAAAGGUUUGACGAGGGCUUAACUGUCUCCUCUCCACCAUCAAUGAAAUUGAUCUCUCCGUGCAAAAGCGGAGAUAUGUAUAUAAGACGAGAAGACCCUGUGGAGCUUAAGAUAAAGCUUUAGACCCCGCCAAAGAAUCUAAAUAUAGGACUAAGCCGAAAGUAGCUAAAGACUAUCUUCAGUUGGGGCGACUACGGGGAAUACAAAACCCCCGCGAAGACUGAGAAGAUUCUUAAAUCUUAGAACUACCCUUCAAAUCAAUAGAACUUCUAACUUUUUAUGAUCCGACCAGUUGAUCAACGAAUAAAGUUACCCCAGGGAUAACAGCGCAAUCCCCUUACAGAGUCCCUAUCGAAAAGGGGGUUUACGACCUCGAUGUUGGACCAGGGCAUCCUAAUGGUGCAG
rnacentral:rRNA from 1 species